rnacentral:ncRNA from 1 species
AUUAUUAACCCGGGGUGCUAUAGUUGCCAAACAGCUAUGGCUGAGAUAAACCCGUUGAACCUGAACAGGGUAAUGCCUGCGGAGGAAGUACAUGAAUUUACAAC